rnacentral:rRNA from 1 species
GGCUUUAUGGAAAAUUAUAAAGUCCAAUCUGCUCACUGAAAUUUAAAGAGCCGCAGUAUUUUGACUGUGCAAAGGUAGCAUAAUCAAUAGUUUUUUAAUUGAAAACUUGUAUGAAAGAUUAGAUGAAAAUUUUUUUUUCUUUAUUCAAAAAGUUGAACUUAAAUUUUAAGUGAAAAUUCUUAAAUUUAUUUAAAAGACGAGAAGACCCUAUAGAUUUUAAUUAAUUUAAUUUUAAAAAAAUUAUUAGAUUAAUUUGAUUGGGGUGAUAUUGUAAUAAAAAUAACUUAAAAUUAAUAAAACCAAAAAUAAAUGAAUUAUUUGAUCUAAAAUUUUUACUUUGAAGAAUAAAUUACCUUAGGGAUAACAGCGUAAUUUCGUUUAAGAGUUCAUAUCUAUAAUGAAGAUUGCGACCUCGAUGUUGAAUUAAAAAAUAUACUGAAGUAGAUUGUAGUAUUAUUAGUCUGUUCGACUAUUUAAAUUU